GAUGAACGCUGGCGGCGUGCCUAAUACAUGCAAGUCGAGCGAACAGACGAGGAGCUUGCUCCUCUGACGUUAGCGGCGGACGGGUGAGUAACACGUGGAUAACCUACCUAUAAGACUGGGAUAACUUCGGGAAACCGGAGCUAAUACCGGAUAAUAUAUUGAACCGCAUGGUUCAAUAGUGAAAGACGGUUUUGCUGUCACUAAUAGAUGGAUCCGCGCCGCAUUAGCUAGUUGGUAAGGUAACGGCUUACCCAGGCAACGAUGCGUAGCCGACCUGAGAGGGUGGUCGCCCACACUGGAACUGAGACACGGUCCAGACUCCUACGGGAGGCAGCAGUAGGGAAUCUUCCGCAAUGGGCGAGAGCCUGACGGAGCAACGCCGCGUGAGUGAUGAAGGUCUUCGGAUCGUAAAACUCUGUUAUUAGUGAAGAACAAAUGUGUAAGUAACUAUGCACGUCUUGACGGUACCUAGUCAGAAAGCCACGGCUAACUACGUG
rnacentral:rRNA from 1 species